GACGAACGCUGGCGGCGUGCUUAACACAUGCAAGUCGAACGGAAAGGCCCUGCUUUUGUGGGGUGCUCGAGUGGCGAACGGGUGAGUAACACGUGAGUAACCUGCUCUUGACUUUGGGAUAACUUCAGGAAACUGGGGCUAAUACCGGAUAGGAGCCCCUGCUGCAUGGUGGGGGGUGGAAAGUUUCGGCGGUUGGGGAUGGACGCGCGGCUUAUCAGCUUGUUGGUGGGGGAGUGGCUUACCAAGGCUUUGACGGGUAGCCGGCCUGAGAGGGUGACCGGCGACAUUGGGACUACGAUACGGCCCAGACUCCUACGGGGGGCAGCAGUGGGGAAUAUUGCACAAUGGGCGGAAGCCUGAUGCAGCAGCGCCGCGUGCGUGAUGACGGCCUUCGGGUUGUAAACCGCUUUCGCCUGUGACGAAGCGUGAGUGACGGUAAUGGGUAAAGAAGCACCGGCUAACUACGUG
rnacentral:rRNA from 1 species